rnacentral:lncRNA from 1 species
CAAGUGUCUGCCACCACGGAUGACGCACCUCGCACGGGGAAUUUUUAUCUUUUGGUUCUCCCGUGGGGUAGUAUUCAUGAUGUAGAUUAAAGUAUGUGUAUGUAUGGUUAUCAGGUAUUGCGGAUCCAUGGCUUCCAAUAAACGCAAGCGUCUAUUGUUAAUUACCCCUACAGAAUAUUAGGGCACCUUCGAUUAAGAGACCUCUGAAAUGCUGAAGAUAAACUGGAAUUGGACAAAAGGAAAUUUAUAAUUUAUUGCUUAAUUACAUGGUUUUAACCAAGGGCAUACCCUCAGUGUACAUGAAUAGAGCGUAAAGAAAAUGUAUUUUUCAAUUGUAUCUUAGCUAUAUAUUCUAAGAUACCCAAUAUAUGGUCAAAUUAAUUUUGUUGGAUUCUAUAUGUUGUGGAGCUCAACACUAUUCACCCUAAGAUGAAAGAUUGAUUAAAUUCCAUAUAUAUAUGCAUUGGAAUUUAAUCAGAUUUAAUUCAGAUUAAACUCUAAUUAUAUGUAUUAGAGUUUUAUUUGGUUAAUUGAACUUUAAAUAUAUGUAAUAAAGUCCAAUAGAUGAUCAGAUUUUGUUGAGCUCUAUAUAUUUUGGAGCUCAACUUUGUUUACCAUGAGAUGAAAGAUUGAUUAAAUCCCAUAUAUAUGCAUUGGAAUUUAAUCGAACUUGAUUAAACUCUGAACUUUAAAUAUAUGUAAUAAAAUCCAAUAGAGUUUGAUUUGAGCUUUCAUCCUAAAUAUAUGUAUUAGGAUUAGCCCCAAAUAUCUUGAAUUAGACUCUAAUUUUAUAUUUUAGAGUCUGAUACAAUUAGGCUCUAAGUUUAUGUAUUAGAGCUUAGUCACAUUUGAUUUUGGUUCAUCUCAAGGUGAAAUAUUAACUAAAUCCUAAUUAUAUGUAUUAGGAUUAGUCAGAUUUGAUUUAAAUUAAACUCCAAGUGUAUGUAUUGAAAUCCAACAAAUUAAUUUGAUCAGAUGGUUUGAUCAAUUCUAAAUAUAGGUUUAGAAUUUGAUCAAGUUUGAACAUGAUUGUGAUUUGACUCUAGUUUUAUAUGCUAGAGAAUCGAAUAUUUUGGGAAUUGGGAUGUUCGUGAAAAUUGAAUUUGAGUUUAGUUUAAUGACAUUUCGGUCGAUAUCGGAUUUAGGUUUAGUUUAACGACGUUUCGGUCGGUUGAUUUGGUGGAUUAGUUUAACGCUGUUUCGGUCGAAGGUUUGGGUUUGGUUCACAAGGUUUAUAGGUAUUGGGUAUAUGGGAUUAUGGUUCAUGAACUUAGAUAUGGUUCAUGGGUUUAUGGUUCAUGGACUUAUGGUUCAUGGGUUUAUGGUUCAUGAACUUGGUGUAUGGUUUGUAGGUUUAUGAUCCAUGGCUCAUGAACUUGAUUUGAUUCAUGAACUUGAUUCAUAAUUCGUGGAUUUGGUGUAUGGUAUGGUCCACAGGAUUUGGUGUAUGGUUUGGUCCAUGGUUUUGGUUCAAAGUUCAUGGACUUGGUUAAGGUUAUGGGCUUGGAUAUGGGUUAAAUGUGUAUGGGUUCAUGGGUAAAUAUAUAUAGGUUUAUGUAUAUGGGUUUAUGGGUUAAUGGUUUUAAUGAGUUUUGGAUAAUGGGCUUUGAUAGUGGGCCCAAAUGGGUUUUGGACUGGGGCCAUUUGUAAAUGGGCUCUGGGCUUUUGACUAGGCCUAGAUUUAAUUGGAUUGGGUUAUGGGUUAUGGGUUAGACGUGUAGAUUGGUUAUUGGGUUCAGACUUGGGCUGAAUUCAUUUUGAUGUGGAUUCGGGCUCAAUAUGGGCUGAACUCAUUUUGAUGUGGAUUCGGGUUCAAUAUGGACCAAAUCAUUUUGGAUAUGGAUUUGGACUCAAUACGGGCUCAUUUCAUUUUGGAUUCGGGUUCAAAAUGGGCCAAAUCAUUUUGAAUUUAGACUCGGGCUCAAUAUGGGCUCAUUUUGGAUUUGGACUUGGGCUUUGGC